CACGUAGGAGGCGAGCGUUGUCCGGAAUCAUUGGGCGUAAAGAGCGCGCAGGCGGCUUGGCAAGUCGGGUGUGAAAUCCCGGGGCUCAACCCCGGGACUGCAUUCGAUACUGUCAGACUAGAGGCAUGCAGGGGAGAACGGAAUUCCUGGUGUAGCGGUGAAAUGCGCAGAUAUCAGGAGGAACACCGGUGGCGAAGGCGGUUCUCUGGGCAUGUCCUGACGCUGAGGAGCGAAAGUGUGGGGAGCGAACAGG
rnacentral:rRNA from 1 species